GUAGGUGGCAAGCGUUGUCCGGAAUUAUUGGGCGUAAAGCGCGCGCAGGCGGUCCUUUAAGUCUGAUGUGAAAGCCCACGGCUCAACCGUGGAGGGUCAUUGGGAAACUGGGGGACUUGAGUACAGAAGAGGAAAGCGGAAUUCCAAGUGUAGCGGUGAAAUGCGUAGAGAUUUGGAGGAACACCAGUGGCGAAGGCGGCUUUCUGGUCUGUAACUGACGCUGAGGCGCGAAAGCGUGGGGAGCAAACAGGGAUUAGAUACCCUGGUAGUCCACGCCGUAAACGAUGAGUGCUAAGUGUUAGGGGGUUUCCGCCCCUUAGUGCUGCAGCUAACGCAUUAAGCACUCCGCCUGGGGAUACGGCCGCAAGGCUG
rnacentral:rRNA from 1 species